rnacentral:rRNA from 1 species
CACGUAGGGGGCAAGCGUUGUCCGGAUUUAUUGGGCGUAAAGAGCCCGUAGGCGGCUUAGUAAGUCGGGUGUGAAACCUCCAGGCUCAACCUGGAGACGCCACCCGAUACUGCUGUGGCUAGAGUCCGGUAGGGGAGCGUGGAAUUCCUGGUGUAGCGGUGAAAUGCGCAGAUAUCAGGAGGAACACCAAUGGCGAAGGCAGCUCGCUGGGACGGUACUGACGCUGAGACGCGAAAGCGUGGGGAGCAAACAGG